rnacentral:rRNA from 1 species
UUAAACGGCCGCGGUAUCCUGACCGUGCAAAGGUAGCAUAAUCAUUUGUUCCCUAAAUAGGGACUUGUAUGAAUGGCCACACGAGGGCUUUACUGUCUCUUACUUCCAAUCCGUGAAAUUGACCUUCCCGUGAAGAGGCGGGAAUACAACAAUAAGACGAGAAGACCCUAUGGAGCUUCAAUUAAUCGACUCAAAGAGACUCCACUAACUAACCGACAGGAACAACAAACCUCUACAUGAGCCGACAAUUUAGGUUGGGGUGACCUCGGAGAACAAAACAACCUCCGAGUGAUUUAAAUCUAGACUAACCAGUCAAAAGUAUUACAUCACUUAUUGAUCCAAAAACUUGAUCAACGGAACAAGUUACCCUAGGGAUAACAGCGCAAUCCUAUUUCAGAGUCCAUAUCGACAAUAGGGUUUACGACCUCGAUGUUGGAUCAGGACAUCCCGAUGGUGCAGCAGCUAUCAAA